rnacentral:rRNA from 1 species
UACGUAGGGGGCAAGCGUUGUCCGGAAUUAUUGGGCGUAAAGGGCGUGUAGGCGGUUUGAUAAGUCGGGCGUUAAAUCUACGGGCUUAACUCGUAGCCGCGUUCGAUACUGUCAGACUAGAGAGUGCUAGAGGAAAGCGGAACUUCCGGUGUAGCGGUGAAAUGCGUAGAUAUCGGAAGGAACACCAGUGGCGAAGGCGGCUUUCUGGGGCACUUCUGACGCUGAGGCGCGAAAGCUAGGGGAGCAAACGGGAUUAGAUACCCGCGUA